rnacentral:rRNA from 1 species
UGGGGAAUAUUGCACAAUGGGCGCAAGCCUGAUGCAGCCAUGCCGCGUGUGUGAAGAAGGCCUUCGGGUUGUAAAGCACUUUCAGCGAGGAGGAAGGUGGUGAGCUUAAUACGCUCAUCAAUUGACGUUACUCGCAGAAGAAGCACCGGCUAACUCCGUGCCAGCAGCCGCGGUAAUACGGAGGGUGCAAGCGUUAAUCGGAAUUACUGGGCGUAAAGCGCACGCAGGCGGUUUGUUAAGUCAGAUGUGAAAUCCCCCGGGCUCAACCUGGGAACUGCAUUUGAAACUGGCAAGCUAGAGUCUCGUAGAGGGGGGUAGAAUUCCAGGUGUAGCGGUGAAAUGCGUAGAGAUCUGGAGGAAUACCGGUGGCGAAGGCGGCCCCCCUGGACGAAGACUGACGCUCAGGUGCGAAAGCGUGGGGCAGCAAACAGGAUUAGAUACCCUGGUAGUCCACGCUGUAAACGAUGUCGAUUUUGGAGGUUGUGCCCUUGAGGCGUGGNUUCCGGAGCUAACGNGUUAAAUCGACCGCCUGGGGAGUACGGCCNCAAGGUUAAAACUUAAAGGAAUUGC